GCUUUUUCUUUACAGCUACAGCUUCUUAAGAUGACGGAAGAUGGACAGCAUCCGCAGGAGGUGAAACCAAGAGGAAUUUCAAGGAAUGAAUUUCAGCUCAUAUGUACAUCGAUGGCCCAAAGCAGCACGCUUGAAGGAGAUCUGAAGACUCUUUGGAUUGAAGGUGGAAGUCCUGGCGUCAGUGUUCCCCCUCUGCUGCCACCAGUUUAAAAUGCAUAAUACAUAACCCUAACCCUAAUUCUGCAAAUUCAGUCCUC